AAAAUAUUACCAGAGUAUUAAUAGUUAUUUUCUUUAAAUUCAAAGAAUUUGGCGGUAUUUUAGUCCUUUUAGAGGAACCUGUUUCGUAAACGAUAUACCACGAAGAUCUUACCUGUUAAGUUGUUUGUAUACCGUCAUUAUUAGAUAACUUUGACAAAAUAAGUUAUUGUAAUUAAGUGGGUUAAGUAAAUUAGAUCAAGGUGCAGCUUAUAAAUAGGAGAAAAUGGGUUACAAUAAAAAUAAUUUAAAUGGAGUUGUUUUUGAAAUUAAACGAUGAAGGUGGAUUUAAUUGUAAUUUUAAUAAUUAUAAUAAUUUGACAUAGGCUCUAGAAUAUGUACAUAUCGCCCGUC
rnacentral:rRNA from 1 species